GACGAACGCUGGCGGCGUGCCUAAUACAUGCAAGUAGGACGCAGUUGCGAACGGGUGAGUAACGCGUAGGUAACUACCUAUUAGAGGGGGAUAACUAUUGGAAACGAUAGCUAAUACCGCAUACUAGUAAAUGGCACUGCGGUGUAUUAGCUAGUAGGUAGGGUAAUGGCCUACCUAGGCAACGAUAAAUAGCCGACCUUAGAGGGUGAUCGGCCACACUUGGACUGAGACACGGCCCCGACUCCUACGGGAGGCCGCAUGAGGGAAUCGUCGGAAAGGGGGGGAACCCUGACCGAGCAACGCCGCGUGAGUGAAGAAGGUUUUCGGAUCGUAAAGCUCUGUUGUUAAGGAAGCGGUACUUAACCAGAAAGGGACGACUAACUACGUGCCAGCCGCCGCGGUAAUAC
rnacentral:rRNA from 1 species